UACAGAGGGGGCAAGCGUUGUUCGGAAUUACUGGGCGUAAAGGGCGCGUAGGCGGCCUGCUAAGUCGAACGUGAAAUCCCCGGGCUCAACCCGGGAACUGCGUCCGAUACUGGCAGGCUUGAAUUCGGGAGAGGGAUGUGGAAUUCCCAGUGUAGAGGUGAAAUUCGUAGAUAUUGGGAAGAACACCAGUGGCGAAGGCGGCUCUCUGGACCGACACUGACGCUGAGGCGCGAAAGCGUGGGGAGCAAACAGG
rnacentral:rRNA from 1 species